GACUUCCUGCUCACAGUUGAUAGAUUUGCUGAUGGACCCUAAAGCGAAGCACUAAAUAUCAGUGAAGUGUUUUUUUAGGCUCUAAAGCAAAGAUACGUGCAGAGAGAAAGAAAGAAAAAAUGAAGGAUUCCACAGUAUUUCUAUGAUUUUAUACUUUUAGACUGAACAGUUUAUAACUUUGGACUGGUUUUGAAUUGGUUAUGGACAGGUUUUGGACUGAUCUUCAACUGGUUGUAGGGUUUGAAAUAGCUUUGGGCCUGGUUUUAAAUUGGGUUUGUCCUUUGUGUUGGACUGAUUUUGGAUUAGUUUGGCCCUCAUUUUGAACUGGAUUGGACUGUUAUUGGCCAUGUUUUUGGACUGGUUGUAGGUUGGUUUAGGGCUAGUGUUUGACUUUUUUUUGUACUUGUUUUGAAUUGGAUAUGGACCAAUUUUGGGCUAGAUCUAGAUUGGUUUUAGACCGAUCUUGAUCUUGGUUUUGGAUUGGAUUUAGUCUGGUUUUGCACUUAGUUUUGGACUGGUUUUAAACAGGCUGUGGAUUGGUAUUAGGACAGUUGUAGACUUGGUUUUCAACUGGUUUUAAUCUUGGUUUUGCAUUGUUUUGAACUUGGUUUAAGGCUUGUUUUGAACUGGCUGGGGCUUAGUUUUAGAAAGGUUUUGGCAUAGGUUUUUGAGUGGUUUUGGAAAUGGGUUUGACCUGGUUUUAGACUAAUUUUGACUUGAUAUUGACUGGUUGUAAACUUGGGGUAAAACUGAUUUUGCACUGGUUGUGGACUCGGGGUUUGGAGUGAUUUUAGACAUGUUUUGGACUGGUUGAGGAUUGGUGUUAGACAAUUUUUGGACUGGUUUUGGAUGUGGUUUAAAAUUAGCUUUCCCUUUUGUUUUGGACUGAUUUUUUUAGCUCUGGUUUUAGCUUAGUUUUGACUUGGGUUUGGACUGAAUUUAGAGAAGUUUUAGGCUGAUUUUGGACUUAGUUUUGGACCAGUUUGUACUUAGUUGGAUUGGACUUGGUUGGUUUUGAACUGGUUUUCAUGUUGAGAUGGGAACGGUUUGGACUUGGUUUUAGAAAGGUUGUGGAAUUGGGUUUUAGACUGGUUUCAGAUUGAUUUUGGACUGGCUAUGUGUUGAUUAUGGACUUGGGUUUGGACUGAUUUUAGAUGGGUUGUGGACUGGUUUUGGAAUGGUUUUGGUGGUGACAUACACUUUGCAUUCAUGGGGCAGAUGACGUAUGUUUUAGUAGAAUCAUUACAUGAACAAACAGAUCUGGUCUGUUUGUGGCUGUAAAAUGAGUGAACUGUUCAGUGAGUUUCUGCUGCUGCUCUGAGCUGCUUCUGCAUCACUGGGUCAGUGUGGAAGUUCAGUAUUUCAGCUUCAUUUAACUCCACAUAAACACUCCACACUGAGGACAUGAUUUAUUAGACUUGCAAAUGAUCAUUUAACACGCUGGCUUCAAAGAUACAUUUUAUUGCAUAAUGACCCCGCUGUUCUCCACAACCCAAAGAUUCCCAAAGGACACAUUUGGACGUCCGUUCUUCCAUUUAGCUGCUGUGUUUACAUACAUGAAUCGAGCUUUAAUAUGCCGACGUUCUGCUGCAGCCGUAAUAAGCGAUUUCCAAAACAAACCCAGAUUAUGAAAGAAAAGGCGACUGGCGAGGAAACUGUUCAUUUCCAGGCUGGCAGACGGUUUGGGCAGAUUCCUUGUUGAACCAUAAAACAUCUCUGUGUGUUUCUACGGGCAAAGAUACGAUUAGGUCAACCUCACGGUGUCACACAAUCCUUUCAAAUCUGGCACAGAGCUGCAGCCAUUGAGGGAAUCAGUGGAAACAGUCCUGACAGUGUGGUUGACUGUGAUCAGCUCAGGCUCUAUAAUCAGCACUGAUUGCUUCCUUUCACUUUGCAGCUCAACACUUCGUGCAUCUUAAUUGCAAUUAGGUGUCUCCUGGAAUAAAAGCGGCUUGGAGUGGCUGACAGAUGGAUGAUAAUGCAACACGCCGCUCUGUUUGUGUAUAUGUGUGAGUGUAUGUGGAUUUACAAGAUGCUGCUCACACACUAGAGUGCUGCUAUUGGUAUUGAUGGUACAUUUACAUGAGGUGCGUAUGGAGGCUACAGCAGGUUCUGGCAGAAACAUUAGCAUCCCCUUUCUUUUAGUAAGAUGUUUAUUUAAGAAACAAAGAGCAAAAAUCUAAAGCUGCAUGUAGCAUUUUAUCAAAAUGAAACCCAAGACUAAAAUCUGUACAUAACAAAAAGCAAAACCAGUUCAAAAUAAAUCACAAAGCAAGUCUAGAAAGCACAAAACCAGUCUAAAAUCAGUACAAAAUGAGGCCCAAAACCAAGUCUAAAACCAAAUCUAAAACAAAACCAGUUCAGAACCAGUCCAAAACCAGUCUAAAAUUUGUUCAAAACUCAGUUCAGAACCAGCAUAAAAUCAAUCUAAGACAAGUCCAAACCAGUCAAAGACCAGUCCAACCCAGCCUAAAACCAGUAAUAAUAAUAAUGAUAAUACAUUUUUUUUGUAAGCGCCUUUCUUGACACCCAAAGUCACUUUACAGUAAAAACACAUGCAACAAAACAGAUAAAAACCAUACAAAAAGAUAAAAACCAUACAAAAAGAUAAAAACCAUACAUAAAGAACAAGGCAGCUACAGAGAGUAAGUAGUCCUGACCAAUAUUCCCUCUAAUUUUUCAUGAGUCUGAGCAAACACACAAACUCCCUGAGCGUCCCUUGGAC
ensembl:lncRNA